rnacentral:rRNA from 1 species
ACGAACGCUGGCGGCGUGCUUAACACAUGCAAGUCGAACGGAAAGGCCCUGCUUUUGUGGGGUGCUCGAGUGGCGAACGGGUGAGUAACACGUGAGUAACCUGCCCUUGACUUUGGGAUAACUUCAGGAAACUGGGGCUAAUACCGGCUAGGAGCUCCUGCUGCAUGGUGGGGGUUGGAAAGUUUCGGCGGUUGGGGAUGGACUCGCGGCUUAUCAGCUUGUUGGUGGGGUAGUGGCUUACCAAGGCUUUGACGGGUAGCCGGCCUGAGAGGGUGACCGGCCACAUUGGGACUGAGAUACGGCCCAGACUCCUACGGGAGGCAGAAGUGGGGAAUAUUGCAAAAUGGGCGGAAGCCUGAUGCAGCAACGCCGCGUGCGGGAUGACGGCCUUCGGGUUGUAAACCGCUUUCGCCUGUGACGAAGCGUGAGUGACGGUAAUGGGUAAAGAAGCACCGGCUAACUACGUG